rnacentral:rRNA from 1 species
UUGUAAAGUAAAGGUCGUAACAAGGUUUUCCGUAGGUGGACCUGGCGGGAGGAUCAAUUA